GGACAAUUCAUCACCACCUGGCACAUACAACACAAAGAACCCAAGUGACCAUUAUGCUGUAAAAUUAUGAGACCUGAAAAUUGAAGAGAAUACACAUGGAUCUACACAAUAGGCCUCAUCUACCAGUAAAUGUGUCAUUUUAUGGUGGUACAUGUAAUGUACAUGUAUCACUGUCAAACAGUAUCCUGUAACUAAACCAUUCAGGUUUAUACUGAUCAGAAAGUGGAAUUAUCUCCAACCAACUCCAUGAGUGACCUCGCACUCAAGGAACCUGGUGAUUGCAUCAUCUUUUUCUUGGUACUAAUUAAGUGGAGAAAAGCAAAAGCAGAGAAUGCGUGUAUCAUCUAAGAACAACAAGCGGAAUCCAUCACCAAACAACUAAACUCCGAAUCAGGUAGGAUAUAAUGGAUAAUAUUCAGCUCGUUCAGUGUUUUGAGUGCAGAAUGUUUAGACAUUCUUUCUCCGUCGUUAGUGGUAAUUUUAUUUGUGAUAGGUGUGUGUUAAUAAGCACUCUGACGCAGAAGAUAUAAGCGUUAGAGAAGCGCAUCCAGACGUUCGAGAGUGUGAGAGCAGCGUUAUUCCCGUAGCGGACAGUCUGGGUGCAGCUGGCGGAGAUAACCAGCCCCCGACUCCGGCAUUAGAGCCCUUACAGCGGGGCGAGUGGGUGACGACUCGGCGGCAUAAUCGAUCAGCCAAAGCUAACGCUAAGGCUAGCCCACCGGAGCACACCUCUUCUGUGCUUCACGUGUCCAACAGGUUUGCUCUCCUUAGUGAUGCACCCACUGAUAAACCUGAAAGAGCUCUGGUUAUAGGAGACUCUAUACUGAGACAUGUAAAAUUAGCCAGGCCUUUAGGGGCGCCAGCGGCAGUGGUUGGGUGUAUCCCGGGAGCCAGAGGACCAUAGCAGGUAAUCUUAGGCCUCUAGGACAGCAUAGGUUCUCCAAGAUAGUGUUACAUGCUGGAGAUGAUGAUAUACCCAGUUUAAAAGUAGACUCAAGACGCAUCUCUUUAAUCUGGCAUACGCGUAACUCAUCCCAUAACUUCAUACUUCAGUACAUCUAUUCUGAAUGGCAACUACGCUAAUUCUCUCCAUCUGUUCUGUACUUUUCUACCCAUCCCGAGGCAUCUGGAGAUUGUACCAGCUUCAGUAGAUAAAGGCCAACCCUGUGAGGAUCCUGAGGCAUCCAGAGAAGGACCAGCUCCAGCUGAAUUCUGCCGUAUUAUGAUUGGAGCUACACAUCCUGCUCCUGUGCUCCCAGUGAUCCAGACCCCAUCUGCCCUCUGCACCUACUGACUCAUCCCUAUGCUGAACUGGACUUCAUGUUAAUUUAAAGAAUUUCUGUUAUAUUGUACUCUCAGCUGCAUAACACACAUGGUGUUAUCAUCUCUAUCUGUUAUCACCCAAAUGAGGAUGGGUUCCCUGUUGAGUCUGGUUCCUCUCAAGGUUUCUUCCUAUUGCCAUCUCAGGGAGUUUUUCCUUGCCACUGUCGCCGUCACCCUUGGCUUGCUCAUCAGAGAAAUUUCAUUCAUUCAUCUCAUUAUUAUCUAGACACAUUUUUCUCACACAUACACAAUUUAUUAUU